rnacentral:rRNA from 1 species
UACGGAGGAUGCGAGCGUUAUCCGGAUUUAUUGGGUUUAAAGGGUGCGUAGGCGGAUUUUUAAGUCAGCGGUAAAAUGUCCGGGCUCAACCCGGGCCGGCCGUUGAAACUGGGGAUCUUGAGUGGGCGAGAAGUAUGCGGAAUGCGUGGUGUAGCGGUGAAAUGCAUAGAUAUCACGCAGAACUCCGAUUGCGAAGGCAGCAUACCGGCGCCUGACUGACGCUGAGGCACGAAAGCGUGGGGAUCGAACAGG